GACGAACGCUGGCGGCGUGCCUAAUACAUGCAAGUAGAACGCUGAAGAGAGGAGCUUGCUCUUCUUGGAUGAGUUGCGAACGGGUGAGUAACGCGUAGGUAACCUGCCUUGUAGCGGGGGAUAACUAUUGGAAACGAUAGCUAAUACCGCAUAACAAUGUAUGACACAUGUCAUUUAUUUGAAAGGGGCAAUUGCUCCACUACAAGAUGGACCUGCGUUGUACUAGCUAGUAGGUGAGGUAAUGGCUCACCUAGGCGACGAUACAUAGCCGACCUGAGAGGGUGAUAGGCCACACUGGGACUGAGACACGGCCCAGACUCCUACGGGAGGCAGCAGUAGGGAAUCUUCGGCAAUGGGGGCAACCCUGACCGAGCAACGCCGCGUGAGUGAAGAAGGUUUUCGGAUCGGAAAGCUCUGUUGUAAGUCAAGAACGGGUGUGAGAGUGGAAAGUUCACACUGUGACGGUAGCUUACCAGAAAGGGACGGCUAACUACGUG
rnacentral:rRNA from 1 species